rnacentral:rRNA from 1 species
CGGAGAGGGAGCAUGAGAAACGGCUACCACUUCUAAGGAAGGCAGCAGGCGCGCAAAUUACCCAAUCCUGACUCAGGGAGGUAGUGACAAGAAAUAACAAUAAACCGGCUUAUGCCGGUUUAAUUGGAAUGAGUACAAUUUAAACAUCUUAACGAGGAACAAUUGGAGGGCAAGUCUGGUGCCAGCAGCCGCGGUAAUUCCAGCUCCAAUAGCGUAUACUAAAGUUGUUGCAGUUAAAAAGCUCGUAGUUGGACUUCUGCGGGGACGGAGCGGCCGGACGCAACUUGCGUCUCGAGCUAGCGCUUUCCCCGCAUCCUGCCGCGAACCGUGCUACCAUUAGUUUGGUGGCGCUGGGGAUCGGCUCGAUUACUUUGAGAAAAAUAGAGUGUUCAAAGCAGGCCACACGCCUUGAAUAAGUUAGCAUGGAAUAAUGACUAAGGACUUUGGUUCUUUUCGUUGGUGUUCGGGACUGAAGUAAUGAUUGAUAGGGACAGUUGGGGCGGUCCGUACUCCAAAGCGAGAGGUGAAAUUCUUAGACCUUCGGAAGACGAACAGCUGCGAAAGCGUCCCGCAAGGAUGUUCCCUUUGAUCAAGAACGAAAGUUGGGGGAUCGAAGACGAUCAGAUACCGUCGUAGUCUCAACUAUAAACUAUACCGGCUAGGGAUCGGCCAACGUUUAAUUAUUCGACUUGGUCGGCACCUUAUGAGAAAUCAAAGCAUCUGGGUUCCGGGGGGAGUAUGGUCGCAAGGCUGAAACUUAAAGGAAUUGACGGAAGGGCACCACCAGGCGUGGAGCCUGUGGCUUAAUUUGACUCAACACGGGAAAACUUACCAGGUCCAGACAUAGGAAGGAUUGACGGAUUGAUAGCUCUUUCUUGAUUCUGUGGGUGGUGGUGCAUGGCCGUUUUUAGUCGGUGAAGUGAUUUGUCUGCUUAAUUGCGUUAACGAACGAGACCCCAGCCUGCUAAAUAGCGCGGCUGAGCUUUGCUCGGUACGAGCUUCUUAGAGGGACUAUGAUGCGCGAUAGCACAUGGAAGUUUGGGGCAAUAACAGGUCUGUGAUGCCCUUAGAUGUUCUGGGCCGCACGCGGGCUACACUGGCGCCUGCAUCGAGCAUAUCAGCUGGCCCGAGAGGGUCUUGGCUAAUCUUUUGAACCGGCGCCGUGCUUGGGAUUGACCUUUGCAAUUGUUGGUCAUGCAACGAGGAAUGCCUUGUAAACGCGAGUCAUCAGCUCGCAUUGAAUACGUCCCUGCCCUUUGUACACACCGCCCGUCGCUCCUACCGAUGAAUGUUCCGAUGAAAUUUUCGGAGAGUGCCUGUGAAGCAGGCUCUGCCUGUCGAACGGGAUGCUCAAAGUCACUUAAAUCUGAACAUUUCGAGGAAGGAGAAGUCGUAACAAGGUAACC